rnacentral:misc_RNA from 1 species
GAAAUGCGAUAAGUAGUGUGAAUUGCAGAAUUCAGUGAAUCAUCGAAUCUUUGAACGCACAUUGCGCCCCUCGGUAUUCCGAAGGGCAUGCCUGUUCGAGCGUCAUCUACACCCUCAAGCUCUGCUUGGUGUUGGGCGUCUGUCCCGCCUCCCGCGCGCGGACUCACCUCAAAUCCAUUGGCGGCCCCCGCAUGGCCACGAGCGCAGCAGAAACGCAAACUCGUGUGCCGGACCGGGCGGCUCCCAGAAGCUACACUCACCAUUUUGACCUCGGAUCAGGUAGGGAUACCCGCUGAACUUAAGC